rnacentral:rRNA from 1 species
AUACGGAGGGUGCAAGCGUUACUCGGAAUCACUGGGCGUAAAGCGCGCGCAGGCGGCUAUUUAAGUUGGAUGUGAAAGCCUACGGCUCAACCGUAGAACUGCAUCCAAAACUAUUUAGCUAGAGUGUGGGAGUGGAAGAUGGAAUUAGUUGUGUAGGGGUAAAAUCCGUAGAGAUAACUAGGAAUACCAAAAGCGAAGGCAAUCUUCUGGAACACUACUGACGCUGAGGCGCGAAAGCGUGGGGAGCAAACGGGAUUAGAAACCCUAGUAGUCC